CCUCCCACGUUUGUCCUUCUUUCUCUUCAGUUAACCAUCAUCAGCUUUAUCCUUCACAAAUUUUCUCCUUCUGCACCUAUCUCCACAACCAAGGUACUCAAUCUCUUUCCCAACUGGACGUGGUUCAGUCGUAUCACGCUGCAGAAUCUCCUCUCCGUCUAUUGAAAUCUGUCGAACACACUAGCGGGCAAACCAGGUUCUUGGACAUAGGCAUGAUUUCCUAAAUUGAGUACACAUUUAUAAGGUUCGGACCCGAGGAACCGAGGACCUCAGUAGUGAG